rnacentral:lncRNA from 1 species
UUUUGUCCAUCGGGAUGCCAUUUUUUCCUAAGUCGGCCUUUCGGGUUUUCAAAUUAGUGGGCUGUUAUUUUUUUGUUUAAUCCAUAACUUUUGCAUGGACAUUUAUUUUUUGGGUCCAUUGGGACAACCAUUUUCCCCUAGAUUGGUUCUGACGAGUUCCAAUCUAGCGGGUUUUGUAUUCAUUUUUUUUCUAUGCAUAAUAUUUUUU